rnacentral:misc_RNA from 1 species
UCGAAUUUUAUAAACUCGGGUCUUUGAAAAGGGGGCAACCUUUUUUUUGAGGCUCGUUUUCAUAAAACCAACCCCCCUUUUGUGAACCAUCGCGUGAGUUAGUAGGGGGGGGGUUGGUACCCCCUUGAAAGCUUGCGACCUAUAUACCCCAGUAUUAAGUCUCAGAAUGUUACCUUGCGUACAACGCAAUAAAAUA